GGGGCUGGGGCUCAGUGGUAGAGCACUUGCCUGGCACGCGUGAGGCCCUGGGUUCAAUCCUCAGCACCA
rnacentral:tRNA from 1 species